GAGGAGAAGUCCUGUUAUCGUCGGACCCGCUAUGUCUGCAUAAAGCCGAAGACUCUCCACACGAAUAUACUUUCUUCCUCUCUUCUCUUCUUUCUUUCUUUCCCUUUUUCUUUUUCCUCUUAUAAAAUUCUCUUAAUUUUACUUCCUACUCCUUCCUUCAUAGAUAGAUCCUAAGUAUCUCUGCUUUUCUCUUUCCCCUGUUCUGUGAUCAAUCAUCAUGGAGUUUUUACUAGAGUUGCUUCUCACGGCGGUUGUUGCGCUUCUGUUUUCUUUCCUUGUCGCCAAGAUCGUAUCUAUUUCUAUGGCCGGGGAAAACGAUCGGAUGGAGAAAACAGAGAUCGGUGAUGGUUCUGCUACGGUGGAGGAGUUUCGUCUUAAUUUGAAAAUGGAUGCUCCAGUAGCUGCGCAGAGCGAGAGGAAACUUCGAGUUGCUGUUGAUGAGAAUGCAGAACAUGUGGAUGAUCGGUUUGGAAGCCAAGAAGCUGAUCGUGUUGUUGAGGAAGCUGCUAGAGACGUUGAGUUGGUGGUUCCAACUCCAGAAGCUGAUGAGUUAUUAUUGGCUGCUGUCUCGCAGGAAAAUGUGAUAGCCAAGGAGAUGAUAGUUCGUGGAGAAGACCAAGGGAGAGACACGGUAGAAGAGUUGACUGUUAGUACGGUGGAAGUUGAUGAGUCCACAGCUUGUGUUUUUCAAGAAAACGUGAUAGCAGAGGAGACUAUCAAUCGAGGACAAGAGGAGGAAGUUUCAUCGACAGAAGGAAUAAGUUCUUGUGUAGAAAGACGAGAAGUCGUAGUAGUCACGGAGUCUGAGGAGGUUAUGGUUGAAGAAUGCAACAAUGUGGAAGAGGAUAAGAUGGAGUUGAAUACUGAAGAGCAAGAGGAGGAGUUGAGUAUCGAAGAAGAUGAUGAUGACUGGGAGGGAAUUGAGAGGAGUGAACUUGAGAAAGCCUUUGUGGCUGCUUCAAAUCUUCUGGAAGAAUCAGAGAAAGGUGAACAAAUUGGUGCUGAGGUUAAGAUGGAGUUGUAUGGCCUUCACAAGAUCGCCACUGAAGGGUCAUGCCGAGAGACACAGCCUAUGGCCCUCAUGCUCUCUUCUCGUGCUAAAUGGAAUGCCUGGCAAAAACUUGGAAACAUGAGUCAGGAGGACGCAAUGGAGCAGUAUCUUCAACUUAUUUCAAAGGAAAUUCCUGGUUUGGUGAAUACUGAUCAUCAUACUGGAAGAUUUUAGAAACGGAAACCUCUGUUGUCCUACCUCCAAAUUCAGGGUCAUUAGAAGAUCCGACCAACUUAGACACAACUAGUGUUGCAUCCAGCAAAACUGGAAAAUACUUUCAUGACAAAUAUGAAUCCCGUUUUUAAGCAGGCAAUGCUUGAAGAAAGAAUCCUUGGGAGAACAAAGGCAAAAACUAUUCUUUUUCAUUAAAAAGUAUGUUACUCAAAAAAGAUAAUCAUGAAUGCAGUAAAUAAACCAUUUGGUGAAACUUGGUUGUAUAGUGUUCUACAUAAUUGUUAUCCUCACCCAAUGGUUGCAGCAAACAAAAACAACAUAAAUAUAUGUGUGUGUGUGUGUGUGUGUGUUUGUGUGUGUGGAUUGGCUAAUUUAAUGGUGUAGAUAUACCCUCCUAAUCGUCUGCCUUUGGUUUGA